AACGAACGCUGGCGGCAGGCCUAACACAUGCAAGUCGAGCGCCCUUUCGGGGGAGCGGCGGACGGGUGAGUAACGCGUGGGAAUAUGCCCUUCUCUACGGAAUAGCCUCGGGAAACUGAGAGUAAUACCGUAUACGCCCUGUGGGGGAAAGAUUUAUCGGGGAAGGAUUAGCCCGCGUUGGAUUAGGUAGUUGGUGGGGUAAUGGCCUACCAAGCCGACGAUCCAUAGCUGGUUUGAGAGGAUGAUCAGCCACACUGGGACUGGGACACGGCCCAGACUCCUACGGGAGGCAGCAGUGGGGAAUCUUAGACAAUGGGGGCAACGCUGAUCUAGCCAUGCCGCGUGAGUGAUGAAGGCCUUAGGGUUGUAAAGCUCUUUCAGCUGGGAAGAUAAUGACGGUACCAGCAGAAGAAGCCCCGGCUAACUCCGUG
rnacentral:rRNA from 1 species